rnacentral:rRNA from 1 species
UGCAGUCGUACGGGAGUUUUUACUCAAGUGGCGGACGGGUGAGUAACACGUAAGAAUUUACCUUUAGGAGGGGGAUAACAACUGGAAACGGUUGCUAAUACCCCAUAUGCUUUCGAGUGAAAUGGAUUUUUCCGCCUAGAGAGAAGCUUGCGGCUGAUUAGCUUGUUGGUGAGGUAAUGGCUCACCAAGGCGACGAUCAGUAUCUGGUUUGAGAGGAUGAUCAGACACACUGGAACUGAGACACGGUCCAGACUCCUACGGGAGGCAGCAGUGGGGAAUUUUCCGCAAUGGGCGAAAGCCUGACGGAGCAAUACCGCGUGAGGGAUGACGGCCUAUGGGUUGUAAACCUCUUUUUUCAGGGAGGAAUCAAUGACGUGUACCUGAAGAAUAAGCAUCGGCUAACUCCGUGCCAGCAGCCGCGGUAAGACGGAGGAUGUAAGUGUUAUCCGGAAUCACUGGGCGUAAAGCGUCUGUAGGUGGUUUAAUAAGUCAACUGUUAAAUCUUGAGGCUCAACCUCAAAAUCGCAGUCGAAACUAUUAGACUAGAGUAUAGUAGGGGUAAAGGGAAUUUCCAGUGGAGCGGUGAAAUGCGUAGAGAUUGGAAAGAACACCGAUGGCGAAGGCACUUUACUGGGCUAUUACUAACACUCAGAGACGACAGCUAGGGUAGCAAAUGGGAUUAGAUACCCCAGUAGUCCUAGCCGUAAACAAUGGAUACUAGAUGUUGGACAGAUCGACCUGUGCAGUAUUAAAGCUAACGCGUUAAGUAUCCCGCCUGGGUGCAGUCGUAUGCAGUCGUAAAACUC